AACGUAGGGCGCGAGCGUUGUCCGGAUUUAUUGGGCGUAAAGAGCUCGUAGGCGGCUUGUCGCGUCGACUGUGAAAUCCCGCGGCUCAACUGCGGGUCUGCAGUCGAUACGGGCAGGCUAGAGUUCGGUAGGGGAGACUGGAAUUCCUGGUGUAGCGGUGAAAUGCGCAGAUAUCAGGAGGAACACCGAUGGCGAAGGCAGGUCUCUGGGCCGAUACUGACGCUGAGGAGCGAAAGCGUGGGGAGCGAACAGG
rnacentral:rRNA from 1 species